CCCACCAUUCUCCUCGCAUUGCACAAUCCCAUCUAAUUUGCCCUUCUCAUCAUUCUUCUCGUCGUUCACGAUCACCUUUUGCAACCUCUAUAAAUUUUUUUUUUGGAUGUCCUCCAGCAUGAAAAGUGUCAUCAUUCUUUAAUUACCUCCCAAACCCACUUCAAAGAUCUAAACCUCCUUGACUCUCUCCAUCAUCCUUUGCCGUCUGCAACUUUCGAUUUUUUUUUCCUUUCAGCUCCAGCUUAGUCGGAAUUGCACAUAUUAGGGAUACCAUGCGGUGAGAAAAGCGCAAUUUCAGAUGCCCCUCAAUGUUGUAACACUUCAGCUCCAACU
rnacentral:lncRNA from 1 species